CCUACGGGAGGCAGCAGUGGGGAAUUUUUCGCAAUGGGCGCAAGCCUGACGAAGCAACGCCGCGUGGAGGAUGAAGGUCUUCGGAUUGUAAACUCCUGUCGACCGGGACGAAUGCACUCGACCUAAUACGUCGGAAUGUUGACGGUACCGGUGGAGGAAGCCACGGCUAACUCUGUGCCAGCAGCCGCGGCAAUACAGAGGUGGCAAGCGUUGUUCGGAAUUACUGGGCGUAAAGGGCGCGUAGGCGGCCUUGUAAGUCUCGUGUGAAAGCCCUCGGCUUAACUGAGGAUCUGCACGGGAUACUGCGAGGCUUGAGUUCGGGAGAGGAAAGCGGAAUUCCGGGUGUAGCGGUGAAAUGCGUAGAUAUCCGGAGGAACACCAGUGGCGAAGGCGGCUUUCUGGACCGACACUGACGCUGAGGCGCGAAAGCUAGGGGAGCAAACGGGAUUAGAUACCCCGGUAGUCCUAGCUGUAAACGAUGAUCGCUGGGUGUGGGGGGUUUUUACUCCCCCCGUGCCGAAGCUAACGCAUUAAGCUAUCCGCCUGGGGAGUACGGUCGCAAGGCUGAAACUCAAAUGAAUUGACGG
rnacentral:rRNA from 1 species